rnacentral:rRNA from 1 species
GCUCAACCGAAGAAGUGCAUCGGAAACUGGGGAACUUGAGUGCAGAAGAGGACAGUGGAACUCCAUGUGUAGCGGUGAAAUGCGUAGAUAUAUGGAAGAACACCAGUGGCGAAGGCGGCUGUCUGGUCUGUAACUGACGCUGAGGCUCGAAAGUAUGGGUAGCAAACAGGAUUAGAUACCCUGGUAGUCCAUACCGUAAACGAUGAAUGCUAAGUGUUGGAGGGUUUCCGCCCUUCAGUGCUGCAGCUAACGCAUUAAGCAUUCCGCCUGGGGAGUACGGCCGCAAGGCUGAAACUCAAAGGAAUUGACGGGGGCCCGCACAAGCGGUGGAGCAUGUGGUUUAAUUCGAAGCUACGCGAAGAACCUUACCAGGUCUUGACAUACUAUGCAAAUCUAAGAGAUUAGACGUUCCCUUCGGGGACAUGGAUACAGGUGGUGCAUGGUUGUCGUCAGCUCGUGUCGUGAGAUGUUGGGUUAAGUCCCGCAACGAGCGCAACCCUUAUUAUCAGUUGCCAGCAUUAAGUUGGGCACUCUGGUGAGACUGCCGGUGACAAACCGGAGGAAGGUGGGGAUGACGUCAAAUCAUCAUGCCCCUUAUGACCUGGGCUACACACGUGCUACAAUGGAUGGUACAACG